rnacentral:rRNA from 1 species
CCCUUAGAUGUUCUGGGCUGCACGCGCGCUACACUGAUGCGCUCAACGAGUUUUAACCUUGCCUGGAAAGGUUGGGUAAUCUUUUUAAAACGCAUCGUGAUGGGGAUAGAUUAUUGCAAUUAUUAAUCUUCAACGAGGAAUUCCUAGUAAGCGCGAGUCAUCAGCUCGUGCUGAUUACGUCCCUGCCCUUUGUACACACCGCCCGUCGCUCCUACCGAUUGGAUGGCUUAGUGAGACCCUCGGACCGAUAGGCUGUCGCCGCGGCAACGUGGCGACCGGCCCGUCGGGAAGAAGGUCAAACUUGACUGUCUAGAGGAAGUAAAAGUCGUAACA